rnacentral:ncRNA from 1 species
UUACCGGAGGCUUUAUGGAUCCCGAUCCCACCCCUCUCCCGACCUGGAGAACACGCGCUUUCCGGUAAGCCUGCCUUUCGCUGUCUUACCGGUGAUGUAAGACAGUGACGCA